rnacentral:rRNA from 1 species
AUGAACGCUGACAGAAUGCUUAACACAUGCAAGUCGAUGGGGAAGUGGUGCUUGCACCCUGGCAACCAUGGCGGACGGGUGAGUAACGCGUAAGGGACUUACCUGCAGGACUGGGAUAACAGGGGGAAACUCCUGACAAGACCGGAUAAUGUCAUGGAGCUGCAUGGCUUUAUGAUGAAAGGAGACGCCUGCGGAGAGCCUUGCGUCCUAUUAGCUAGUUGGUGAGGUAAUGGCUCACCAAGGCGAAGAUAGGUAGCCGGCCUGAGAGGGUGGACGGCCACGAGGCGACUGAGAUACGGCCCUUACUCCUACGGGAGGCAGCAGUGGGGAAUAUUGGACCAUGGGGGCAACCCUGAUCCAGCAAUUCUGUGUGCACGAAGAAGGUUUUCGGAUUGUAAAGUGCUUUCAGCAGGGAAGAAGUAAGUGACGGUACCUGCAGAAGAAGCGACGGCUAAAUACGUG